GGACAGUAGAUGGGUUAGGUUCUACAAUGUCUCCAUUUCAUUUUGCCAAAUCCUGGCUUUCCCCCUGAUUCUGUGGACUGCCAGGAGCAUGGGGUAGGAAAAGGACACAUCAAGUGUAUUUCUUUUCUCCCACCUGCUGCUCAAACCUGUUCCACUCACCGUUUGAAGUCUUCAGGCUGUAUGUAGAUGGGGUAGAACCUGUAGAUGCCAGUGGUGAGGUUUGUAAAGAAUCGGCUGUCUGUGUUGCCAAUAGAAGUAACUAGAGAGGGAAGAUCAACAGGAAAGGGGCUUUACAUGAGCAAUCAAACCAGCGAAGUGGCUGGGGUGUGGCCUGGCUGGAAAAUCAGGACUACUGGAUCACUACAGAGCAAUGCCUGGGCUCUCCUGAAAGCGUAUAGCUAUCCUUACAAAAAGCACCAUUUCAGCCAGGAACUUGGAAGUGUCCUCUCCCCAUGACGACCAGGGAGGCCAAUAUCUUCAUUUCAUACCCAAGGCCAUGGCCAUUUGCUAUUCCCCAUGACGCCCAGGGUGGCCAGUAUCUUCAUUUCAUACCCAAGGCCAUGGCCGUUUGCUGUUCCCCAUGACGCCCAGGGUGGCCAGUAUCUUCAUUUCAUACCCAAGGCCAUGGCUGUUUGCUGUUCCCC
rnacentral:lncRNA from 1 species